rnacentral:rRNA from 1 species
UACGGAGGGGGCUAGCGUUGUUCGGAAUUACUGGGCGUAAAGCGCACGUAGGCGGCUUUGUAAGUUAGAUGUGAAAGCCCAGGGCUCAACCCUGGAAUUGCCUUUAAGACUGCAUCGCUAGAAUUGUGGAGAGGUAAGUGGAAUUCCGAGUGUAGAGGUGAAAUUCGUAGAUAUUCGGAAGAACACCAGUGGCGAAGGCGACUUACUGGACACAUAUUGACGCUGAGGUGCGAAAGCGUGGGGAGCAAACAGG